rnacentral:rRNA from 1 species
AUUGAACGCUGGCGGCAGGCCUAACACAUGCAAGUCGAGCGGAUGAAGGGAGCUUGCUCCUGGAUUCAGCGGCGGACGGGUGAGUAAUGCCUAGGAAUCUGCCUGGUAGUGGGGGAUAACGUCCGGAAACGGGCGCUAAUACCGCAUACGUCCUGAGGGAGAAAGUGGGGGAUCUUCGGACCUCACGCUAUCAGAUGAGCCUAGGUCGGAUUAGCUAGUUGGUGGGGUAAAGGCCUACCAAGGCGACGAUCCGUAACUGGUCUGAGAGGAUGAUCAGUCACACUGGAACUGAGACACGGUACAGAGUCCUACGGGAGGCAGCAGUGGGGAAUAUUGGACAAGGAGCGAAAGCCUGAUCCAGCCAUGCCGCGUGUGUGAAGAAGGUCUUCGGAUUGUAAAGCACUUUAAGUUGGGAGGAAGGGGAGUAAGUUAAUACCUUGCUGUUUUGACGUGACCAACAGAAUAAGCACCGGCUAACUUCGUG